GACGAACGCUGGCGGCGUGCUUAACGCAUGCCAGUCGAACGGAAAGGCCCUGCUUUUGUGGGGUGCUCGAGUGGCGAACGGGUGAGUAACACGUGAGUAACCUGCCCUUGACUUUGGGAUAACUUCAGGAAACUGGGGCUAAUACCGGAUAGGAGCUCCUGCUGCAUGGUGGGGGUUGGAAAGUUUCGGCGGUUGGGGAUGGACUCGCGGCUUAUCAGCUUGUUGGUGGGGUAGUGGCUUACCAAGGCUUUGACGGGUAGCCGGCCUGAGAGGGUGACCGGCCACAUUGGGACUGAGAUACGGCCCAGACUCCUACGGGAGGCAGCAGUGGGGAAUAUUGCACAAUGGGCGGAAGCCUGAUGCAGCAACGCCGCGUGCGGGAUGACGGCCUUCGGGUUGUAAACCGCUUCCGCCUGUGACGAAGCGUGAGUGACGGUAAUGGGUAAAGAAGCACCGGCUAACUACGUG
rnacentral:rRNA from 1 species